rnacentral:sRNA from 1 species
UGUAAAUGCCCUCCUUGGGCGUUUCCUCCCUAGACUCUGCCGCGCUUCGAGCGCGGUUUUUUUUGAAUGAU